UGUAUCCGACCCGACCGCUUGCCCGCUCCCCGGUCACGGCACCAAUCCGAUCGCCGCCGGUUCCGGCGACGU
rnacentral:sRNA from 1 species